CUAAACGCUCAAGUUCACUUCAAAAGCUGAAAGUCGAGGAGCGCUUGCUAUCCACGAGAUACCGUUCGUAAUCUUUCUCAAUUAGGGUGCAGGUAUACAGUAGCAGAAUUAAAACGAAGGAAUGUGCACUUGGAAAUUAGCAGCAUUAUAGGGCGAUGCUGGAAUGUUUGUUUUGCAGGACGAAACCUAACCGUGUUUCGCGCGAACCCAAUGCACAGCUGUCAAAAUUAAUUUAUUCAAAUUUAUUACAAUGGCCUUACGGAACACGAUUAUCGCCGCCGUUGCGUAGACGGCACGAGAGGAUAUUUUCGCGAGUCAGCGGCUACACGUAGGCUAUGGGUCCCCCAACUCCAUGUGAACAGGCCCUACAUCUUGAAUAGAGAGUUUUUAUAAAUGACCACCUAGUACUGUAGGCCAAGUUUAAAGAUCUAUAGCACGUGGUAUUCUGGCACGAAAUCGAGGCUAAGUGAGUGUGCGUAACAAAACAAAAGUGGGCUAUGGGAGGCCAGCUGACACUAAGGUAAGUGGGCUCUGGCCAGCUGACACUAAGGUAAGUGGGCUCUGGUCAGCUGACACUAAGGUAAGUGGGCUCUGGCCAGCUGACACUAAGGUAAGUGGGCUCUGGUCAGCUGACACUAAGGUAAGUGGGCUCUGGCCAGCUGACACUCAGGUAAGUGGGCUCUGGUCAGCUGACACUAAGGUAAGUGGGCUCUGGUCAGCUGACACUUAGGUAAGUGGGCUCUGGUCAGCUGACACUAAGGUAAGUGGGCUCUGGUCAGCUGACACUAAGGUAAGUGGGCUCUGGUCAGCUGACACUAAGGUAAGUGGGCUCUGGUCAGCUGACACUAAGGUAAGUGGGCUCUGGCCAGCUGACACUAAGGUAAGUGGGCUCUGGCCAGCUGACACUAAGGUAAGUGGGCUCUGGCCAGCUGACACUAAGGUAAGUGGGCUCUGGUUAGCUGACACUAAGGUAAGUGGGCUCUGGCCAGCUGACACUAAGGUAAGUGGGCUCUGGUCAGCUGACACUAAGGUAAGUGGGCUCUGGUCAGCUGACACUAAGGUAAGUGGGCUCUGGUCAGCUGACACUAAGGUAAGUGGGCUCUGAUCAGCUGACACUAAGGUAAGUGAGCUCUGUGGAAGAGAUAAGAGUGAAGAAUUUUGUGCAAAAUACAUCUAACUUCAGCGCAGGAAAACCCGAGGGGUUUGGUUCGGAUAAGUUUGAAUCACGGGAAGGUCUCUAUUCCUAAGGCAAGGAUCUGAGGAUAGUCCUUUAAAGUUCCAUACAACAUGCGCGACCACUGCGCUAGUCUCUCGCUAAGUAAUCAUGACCAUACCUAUGUCAUGACUAAACACUCUUGUUUAUCUCUAAAUGAAAGAGGAGCGUGCUCAAGGCGACCAACACAUUUUAAGGUGGCGCGUGCUAAAUUGUUUACAUUUUCUAUUCUUAGGAGCAGACAAUUGGGGGCAUAAAAAUCUUUGGUAUAUUUUAAUAAAUAAGACACCCUUUGAAAAAUUCUAGAUCCGCCAUUGUCAAAAUAAGAAUUGUGGAAGAAACAAAUAAGCACACAUGAAGAUCAUUCGCUUCCGGGCGGUGCUUGUAUAGCGGCGAGUAUUCUCUACACAAAUCGCAAUUAGUCACGCUUGCGUGAAUCAAUUAGAGAUGUUCGCAAAAAAAAUAUAUACAUAUUAAGGAAAAUAUUUUUUAACUCACAGAAAGAGUGUAUAUGUUGGAUUUUCAACGACGUAAUGAGUCAACAGCUUUUCUCGUUGAGAAAAAGUUCUUUAUGCCUUUACCAUGGGUCAUUUAAUAGUUUUCACAUUUUUUGAUAAUUUUUGUUAAGUAAAAAUUUCUUAUACUGGAUCCUCCAUUAAAGAACACCUUGAAGAUCUUCAAUUUCCUUUUAGUUCUUAUUCACGUGUAUGAAGUGCUAAUUUUUAUAUUAUCAUUUAGUUGACACAGUUUGGAAAUGAAUAAAGCAAAGAGAAAUCACUACUCGAUAUAAUAAAAUCCUCUACAAUUGAAAGGAAGCCACGCAUUGAAAGUAAGGGGCACCAGUUAGCUGUAAGUUCUAACAUUACAAGAACCAAGUUCACAGGAAAAAUAGAGACAAGACUGAAAAUAAAAGAUGAAUUCAAAGUUGAUUCUUCUGGCUUUGGUCGUGUGUCUUGUCGUGUGUGCAGUAUCCCCAGAGACAGAAGCAAGUCCCCUGAGCGGUUGUUUCUACACGUGCCAACAAAACCUUUAUUAUUGUCGGCAUUUUUGUCAAAGACGUGCAUGCGCAAUAUGUGCAAGAAUUAUGUCGCAGUGCAUACAAGGAUGCUAAAGGAACAAACACGACGCAUGACCCAGAUUGUUAUGGCAAAUCAUUUUACUAAAAAAAUCCUGUAUUUUGAAGCAUGUCAUGUAAUAAAGAAAAAUGCGUGAAAAAA